rnacentral:lncRNA from 1 species
UCCUCAAGUUAUGGAUGUUUAAGAAUCACUUCUUUAAAAAUGUUAUUAAAGAAUACGAGGUUACAAAAAUGAAGAAUGUUUUCUUAUAAAUAGUUUUUAUGGCUCCAUAACUUGUCCUCAAGUUAUGGAUGUUUAAGAAUCACUUCUUUAAAAAUGUUAUUAAAGAAUACGAGGUUACAAAAAUGAAGAAUGUUUUCUUAUAAAUAGUUUUUAUGGCUCCAUAACUUGUCCUCAAGUUAUGGAUGUCCAAGAGUUCCUUCAUUAAAAGUUUUUAAAACUUUAAUUAAACUCAUAAGUUAUGAAAAUCCAAGAGUUUUGAAUAGUUUCAAAACUUGCCCUCAAGUUUUGGAAUUUGUAAAGUUUUCCCAUGAAUAUUUUAAUUCCAAGUUAAGCCCUUAGAAUUUUAAAAGUUAAAAUUCAACUCUUAUACUUCAUAAUAUUAUAAGUUAAUAAUAUUUAUAUAUAUGUAUAAGAGCAAGUCGUCUUACCAUUAGUAGGCCUCAUUCAAGAAGCCGGUCUAUUAGGAGGGUAUAA